rnacentral:snoRNA from 1 species
AUGCAUCUCUGACAAACCUAGAGCAGUACUGUCUGCUGCUAAGUUUCCACUAUAGAUGCAAGAAAAAUGUCCUCGCGCUUUCUGUCUGCCUGAUUGUGGCAGCCAAGAUUGAAUAGAGGAAUACAGAG